rnacentral:rRNA from 1 species
CCUACGGGCGGCAGCAGUGGGGGAUAUUGGACAAUGGGGGGAACCCUGAUCCAGCGAAGCCGCGUGAGUGAAGACGUAUUUCGGUAUGUAAAGCUCUGUCAGUCGGGAAGCAAGCAAUGACGGUACCUGACCAAGAAGCCCCGGCUAACUACGUGCCAGCAGCAGCGGUAAUACGUAGGAUGCGAGCGUUAUCCGGAUUUAUUGGGUUGAAAGGGUGCGCAGGCGGAGGCACAAGUCAGCGGUAAAAUCGCGGUGCUCAACCCCGCACCGCCGUUGAAACUGUGUCCCUUGAGUGCGCGAAGGGUAGGCGGAAUGCGUGGUGUAGCGGUGAAAUGCAUAGAUAUCACGCAGAACUCCGAUCGCGAAGGCAGCCUACCGGCGCGCAACUGACGCUGAUGCACGAAAGCGUGGGUAUCGAACAGGAUUAGAUACCCGAGUAGUC